GAUGAACGCUGGCGGCGUGCCUAAUACAUGCAAGUCGAGCGAACAGAUGAGGAGCUUGCUCCUCUGACGUUAGCGGCGGACGUGUGAGUAACACGUGGAUAACCUACCUAUAAAACUGGGAUAACUUCGGGAAACCGGAGCUAAUACCGGAUAAUAUAUUGAACCGCAUGGUUCAAUAGUGAAAGACGGUUUUGCUGUCACUUAUAGAUGGAUCCGCGCCGCAUUAGCUAGUUGGUAAGGUAAAGGCUUACCAAGGCAACGAUGCGUAGCCGACCUGAGAGGAUGAUCGGCCACACUGGCACUGAGACACGGCCCAGACUCCUACGGGAGGCAGCAGUAGGGAAUCUUCCGCAAUGGGCGAAAGCCUGACGGAGCAACGCCGCGUGAGUGAUGAAGGUCUUCGGAUCGUAAAACUCUGUUAUUAGGGAAGAACAAAUGUGUAAGAAACUAUGCACGUCUUGACGGUACCUAAUCAGAAAGCCACGGCUAACUACGUG
rnacentral:rRNA from 1 species